GAUGAACGCUGGCGGCGUGCUUAACACAUGCAAGUCGAACGAAGCACUUUAUUUGAUUUCCUUCGGGACUGAUUAUUUUGUGACUGAGUGGCGGACGGGUGAGUAACGCGUGGGUAACCUGCCUUGUACAGGGGGAUAACAGUUGGAAACGGCUGCUAAUACCGCAUAAGCGCACGGCAUCGCAUGAUGCAGUGUGAAAAACUCCGGUGGUAUAAGAUGGACCCGCGUUGGAUUAGCUAGUUGGUGAGGUAACGGCCCACCAAGGCGACGAUCCAUAGCCGACAUGAGAGGGUGACCGGCCACAUUGGGACUGAGACACGGCCCAAACUCCUACGGGAGGCAGCAGUGGGGAAUAUUGCACAAUGGGCGAAAGCCUGAUGCAGCGACGACGCGUGAGCGAAGAAGUAUUUCGGUAUGUAAAGCUCUAUCAGCAGGGAAGAUAAUGACGGUACCUGACUAAGAAGCACCGGCUAAAUACGUG
rnacentral:rRNA from 1 species